rnacentral:rRNA from 1 species
AAAAACAUAAUUUCUUGAUAACAAGAAAUGACUCUUGCCCAGUGAUGAAUUAUUCAACGGCCGCAGUACUCUGACUGUGCAAAGGUAGCAUAAUUAAUUGUCAUUUAAUUGAUGACUUGUUUGAGGAGGGUGUAUGAGAGAAUGAGGAUUUCUUUUAACUAAAAAUUUUAAUUUUUAGGUGUGGUAAAAAUACCGCAAUUUAAUUAUAAGACGAUAAGACCCUAAAAGCUUUCUAAAGUAAAGUAGUUUAGUUUCUCUGGGGCAGAGCAUUAAAAUCCUUAAUGAUUUGGGCUGUUUUAAUUCAGUGAAUUUGGUGAAGUUACUUUAGGGAUAACAGGGUAAUUACUAUUUAGAGUACGUAUUGAAGUAGUAGAUUGCCACCUCGAUGUUGAAUUUUUAACCACACUAGGGCGGAGAGGCUCUAAUGGGUUGGCCUGUUCGGCCAUUAAAUAGGCACAUGAUUUGA